rnacentral:rRNA from 1 species
AGAGUUUGAUCCUGGCUCAGAACGUACGCUGGCGGCACGCCUAACACAUGCAAGUCGAACGAAGUAGCAAUACUUAGUGGCAGACGGGUGAGUAACAUGUGGGUAUCUACCCUUUGGCCUGGAAUAACACGAGGAAACUUGUGCUAAUACCGGAUAAGUCUUUACGGAGAAAGCUUUAUGCACCAUUGGAUGAGCCCGCACUUGAUUAGUUUGUUGGUAGGGUAAUGGCCUACCAAGACUAUGAUCAAUAGCUGAUUUGAGAGGAUGAUCAGCCACAUUGGGACUGAGACACGGCCCAAACUCCUACGGGAGGCAGCAGUGGGGAAUCUUGCACAAUGGAGGAAACUCUGAUGCAGCGAUGCCGCGUGAGUGAAGAAGGCCUUUGGGUUGUAAAGCUCUUUCGUCGGGGAAGAAAAUGACUGUACCCGAAUAAGAAGGUCCGGCUAACUUCGUGCCAGCAGCCGCGGUAAUACGAAGGGACCUAGCGUAGUUCGGAAUUACUGGGCUUAAAGAGUUCGUAGGUGGUUGAAAAAGUUGGUGGUGAAAUCCCAGAGCUUAACUCUGGAACUGCCAUCAAAACUUUUCAGCUAGAGUAUGAUAGAGGAAAGCAGAAUUUCUAGUGUAGAGGUGAAAUUCGUAGAUAUUAGAAAGAAUACCAAUUGCGAAGGCAGCUUUCUGGAUCAUUACUGACACUGAGGAACGAAAGCAUGGGUAGCGAAGAGGAUUAGAUACCCUCGUAGUCCAUGCCGUAAACGAUGUGUGUUAGACGUUGGAAAUUUAUUUUCAGUGUCGCAGGAAACCGAUAAACACACCGCCUGGGGAGUACGACCGCAAGGU